CCCAAGGCGGCAGGCACAUGCGCAACGUCGCGAUUUGCCGCGAAUCAUAAUUUUUUUCCUUUGAGAAAAGAAUAAUGGAUACAACUGUCGUUCAGAUAUAGUAUAUUACUUUAAUUUACGGUGUUUUAAAAGUGUAUUAUGGUCUCAUUGACGGGUAUAGUUAUUAGUCUCAUUGUCGGGUCUGUAGUGAAGAAUGGCUGGGAAAUAUGCAACUGCAUCCUAUGAGAGAUAUUUGAGGAGAGUUAUGAGUCUGUGGGAUAGUGUGCCUAUAGAUGUCAUUCACCCACUAAUAUUAAGUUUACUUGAAGAUGGCGAGGAUUUACAAGAGCAGAUCUGCUGCACAAAUGUUUUCCUCCCUGGAAAGCAGGACUUUCCAGAUCCCGCCUUCUGAAGUGACCCAAGAUGAAGAAGAGUCAGCUUAUUAAAGUCUUGCUGAGGAAGCAACGAAAAAAUGUGAAAAGGCUAAAGAAUAGUUAGAAGCUGCGACUCUCGAGGAAUACCCUGGAAAUUGUGUGCUUGGUGUUGAAAGAGAAGUUUAAGGCUUAUUGUUCUCUACCUGAAAAUAUGAAGAAAUCAUUACCAGUGAGAGAGACAAGGAAAACAAUAGACAAAACUUUGGACAUUAGUAUGUUAACAGAUAAAAAGAAAAAGAAAAGAGUCAAAGAGCUGAAUGCUGGUUUGCUAAUAUCAUCACCAUGUAGUGAUCAUCAUCAAAAACUGAAGAAAAGUAAACACCAACGAGAGAAUCUUAGGAACGGUAUUUCUGAGGAAAGCAAAGGUGACUUUGAUAUUGGUGAGACACAUUUGAAAAAGGAUGCGGUCGAAAGGAUAGUUGACACUUUACCUGUUGAAAAGGUUUCAAAUGUUCCGAGUGGGUUCUUAGUGAGUGAAAAAUUGAAAAACAAGAGGAAGAAGAGACUUUUUGAAUAAAACAAUUAAGUUAAAAAUGGAAAAUGAUGCAGCU